UACGGAGGGUGCAAGCGUUGUCCGGAAUCACUGGGCGUAAAGCGCACGUAGGCGGAUUGUUAAGUCGGGGGUGAAAUCCUGGAGCUCAACUCCAGAACUGCCUUCGAUACUGGCGAUCUCGAGUCCGGGAGAGGUGAGUGGAACUGCGAGUGUAGAGGUGAAAUUCGUAGAUAUUCGCAAGAACACCAGUGGCGAAGGCGGCUCACUGGCCCGGUACUGACGCUGAGGUGCGAAAGCGUGGGGAGCAAACAGG
rnacentral:rRNA from 1 species